rnacentral:rRNA from 1 species
UAGUCCCAGCCGUAAACGGUGCACACUUGGUGUGGGGGGUAUUGACCCCUCCCGUGCCGGAGCUAACGCGUUAAGUGUGCCGCCUGGGGAGUACGGCCGCAAGGCUAAAACUCAAAGAAAUUGACGGGGGCCCGCACAAGCGGAGGAGCAUGUGGCUUAAUUCGAUGCAACGCGAAGAACCUUACCUGGGCUUGACAUGGUGACCCUUCGGGGGUGAGAGCGAAAGCUCUCUUUACACACACAGGUGCUGCAUGGCUGUCGUCAGUUCGUGCCGUGAGGUGUUGGGUUAAGUCCCGCAACGAACGCAACCCUUGUGGUUAGUUGCCACCGGAGGUGAUGAGCCUUCGAGCACUCUAGCCAGACUGCCCGUACAAGCGGGAGGAAGGUGGGGAUGACGUCAAGUCAGUAUGGCCCUUACGCCCAGGGCUGCACACGUGCUACAAUGGUCGGUACAAUGGGAAGCAAGACCGCGAGGUGGAGCAAAUCCCCAAAACGGCCCAAGUUCGGAUUGGAGUCUGCAAC